rnacentral:lncRNA from 1 species
CUAAACUCUCGAUACAAAGCCAUGCAUGCUCUCACAAAAAUCUUUGCAGGAAAAGAGCCAAGAUCAUCAAUCCAAGUUGUUAGGCCGUACGACUCAACGGAGAUAUCUCUCGCAUAAAUUGACAAGGAUAGGGGAUCCUCUCCCCAUCUCCACUAUCUCUCCUAUUCUCACCGUCCCCGCUAUCACUUUCACUUUCUUCUUUGCUUUCCCCCUCGCUUUAACCUUCGCUAUCCCCAGCAUCAUCACUCUCGUGUGCACUACUUUCAUCAUAUUCGAAAAUAUUGACAAGGAUUCUUGAUUCAAUUUCCGACUCCGAUUCAUCAACUACGGGUUUUUUUCUCUUGAAAGUUUUUAAAACUUCUUCGAAUUUUUGCUUUCUGCUGGUAGAAGCAGUGGAAGUAAGCCUUUUAAUCGCUCUAUGAACUCUU